rnacentral:lncRNA from 1 species
AAAGAAAGAAAGAAAGAAAGAAAGAAAGAAAGAAAGAAAGAAAGAAAGCAAACAAAGGAAGGAAGGAAGGAAGGAAGGAAGGAAGGAAGGAAGGAAGGAAGGAAGGAAGGAAGGAAAGAGGGCAUUGCUUCAAAUCUGUUGGAGAUAUGUAAUUUAAAAAUCUCAUUGGAUAUUUCUAAUACACUACUAAUGAUACCUUAGAAACUGGCUCAAUGAUAGAGGGAUUUCUAAGCAGUGUAAUUUCUACAUUCGAUGAACAGCUCCAUGAAUAUGCAAUAUAAAGAAUGAUUGCAGCUAACAUUGUUUCUAAUAAGGCUUAUUCCAAUCUCUGGGUUGCUUUUAAUAAUCACAUAGUCAUUCAGAAGAUUUGUUCUCCUGCUCCAUUUUGAAGGCUGUUCUGUGCUUCAUAAAAUCAGUUCAUAUAAAACCACUGAGUUGAUUUUUCAUUUUGCCUUUUCUGGAUACCUAGGGAUACAAUUGCAACUUGUCAUUUAUUCUAUAUGCAUUUUUGAAAGAUAACAUUUUUUUGUAUUUUGGGGCUGUUGUAAAUAAAAUGCUGUAAUUACAUAGCUUAUAAACAACAAACAACUGUCACAUCCCAACCUAGAGGCUGAGAAGGCCAAGUAGAGCCAGCAGAGGUGGGUUCUAGUGUGAGCACACACUUCCUGCCUCACAGAUGAUGGUCUUGCUGUGCUUUCUCCUGUCAGAUGGGCAAAGGAUGUUCUUGGAGGCCUCUUUUAUGAGCACAAUAAGCCAAACCUGAGAGUCAGAGCCCUCAAUGUGAGCCCUUCACACAGGCUCCGCCACCACACACCCCCGUCUUGUGACUAAAUCUCAACAUAAUGGACUGGGAGAGUGGAUGGCACAAGGGUUCUGACUGUCACACCUGGGUGCGUGUCAUUCAAUAAGAGCAAUGAUGACUUGUUCCACCUAGAAAGUGCUCUGAAUAGAGAGGCAUCUCAAUGCAAUUUCUUCACCAUUACUCACUCAUCUUUUUGUGAUAUCACUUUCCUUUAUUAUCCAGAAACAUAAGUGGAGGAGGGAGAGCUACAGGGCAUGGAUCCACAGAAGAGGAAGUAGGAUAUCACUGUGAUAUAUUCUUUGUUUGUUUGUUUGUUUGUUUGUUUGUUUGUUUGAACUGAGUGUCAGAGAUCCUAGCAGGGUUCUACUCUAUGGACUGGAUGCCUCUUCUGUGAGGUCUUGAAUUCAUGGAAGUGAUUAAAAUCUGAUUUGGAUAGAUUAGCAUAUCUCAGAGAUUUCUAAUUAACUGAGAUUCUCUUCCCCUUGUCUUUUUUUCUCCCUCUUUCUUUUCAUUUUCAUUUUCAUUUUUUUUCUUGCCUUGAUUUUUGUUUUUAUUAAGUCAUUUUUUUUCUUUGUUAGGCAGAAUCUCACAUCAUAACCCCAAAUGACCUGUUACUCACCAUGUGGCCCAGCUGUCUUCAAACUCACCAGCCUCCUGCCUUAGCCUUCUAAAUGCUUGGAUUACAGGCAUGACCCACCAUAACUGGCUUUGUUUUAGUUUCAGAGAAGAUGAAACUGAUGUGCGUCAAAAAGUUAUGGAGGCUGGGAAGACCUAGAAUGUGGCAUCACUAUUUGGUUAUUUAGAAAAUUGUUACCUCAAAAAUGACCUAGGGGUCCUUAGAAUAAUAACACACAGAAGAAUAGCCUCAUUUUUCUGUUGGGCCCAGGAAACCAUGCCGAUUACCGACCGAGCUCUCAAUGGAAAAAUGCAGUCGGCGUGAACCACGCACGAACACAGCAGAGAAAGAAGAAAACACACACCACGAGGAACCCUAAUAGGACAAUACAUUAUAAGUCACAGUGCUACGGAGAAACCCAGUAGCCACAUGGAAGCAGAGACCAUGCAUAUGCAUCUACUCCGCAGCUCUGUGAAUGUCAGCAGCUCCCACGGACUGGAGAUCCCGUGAGAUCCCGUGAGAUCUCACCCAUAGCCUCAUGGUACAUCCACUUGGUGUGCUGGGAGAGUCAGGAUGAGGACCUGAGAAGAACAGCAGCUUGAACCUGACUUCAUUUAACAGCCCACUGCCCUCUUGCCAAGAACCCAUCACAGACCUUCCCAGAAGAGAGGGAUGAGCCUCACCUAUGAAUAAGUCCUCAGAAACUCAAAUUUGAUUCUAAUGGAUUGUUUUCUCAGAAAGACUGAGCAUGUCCCCCCACAUCUCUGUCAUUUCCCACAGUAGUAACCUCUGCAGAUGCCACAUAGAAAACAAAACAAAACAAAAAAACAUGAGGUUGGUGGGCAGAUAGGCAGGGUAUAAACAAACAGCCUUGUAACCCAGAAGCUGUGUGAUAUACAGUAAACUUCACAACACUGAAAAGAUGUCCUAUCUGUUAAAAUGGGGUAAUAACAACUACCCGAAUGUUUAGGAAUAGAACUUCAAUAAAUGAUACAUUUUAUAGUACAGCAGACCAUCCUGUAAAGGUUUCAUCCUUCACUGUGGUGAUAAAUAUCCCAAACCACAUUGAAAAGCAUUGCAUCUACAUUUAUCUACACUGUAACUGUACUGUAAAUCAUGGGGGAGGGGAGAAUCAUAAAAACACCACCUGUCACCGUGUCAUUAAAGCAAGUUGGAAGUGAUACUUACAGAAACACAGCAAGAGCACCCCCAGUCACACAGUUCAAUCUCUUAGCAAGCGUUUUCUUUCUAGCCCAGUGGUUCUCAGUUUGGAAUUUUUGGCACUGCCUAGAGAUAGUUUUGUUGUUAAAACUGAGAAAAGAGCCGGGCGUGGUGGCACACGCCUUUAAUCCCAGCACUCAGGAGGCAGAGGCAGG